GGGAGCUCAAUCGGUAAGAGCAUUCGACUUUUAAUCGAACGGUUGUGGGUUCGAAUCCCACUGUCCCUA